GAUCUCCUUUAUUGCUGUUGCUGCCAUAGACAUAAUAUAAGGGUAGACGCCGCAUUGGCCGCUCCGGCGCAGGAAAUACGGCGGCCAUCUUAGAGCGGUAUACCCUCGUACUUUGCUGAACCAAAACAACAGAAGAUGCCUCAGUUCUGCUCGGCUUAUUCGUGUUUAAAUCUACGAACUGUUGAUGUCAGGGACCGGGGGAUAACUUUUCACAAGUAAGAAUGACAUAUUAUUGUUAGUAUGUUGUGAAUGUAAUAUUACUGUACUGUAUUUAUGCCCACCAGCGAAAUGACAGCAAAUGUUAGCUAUCGGUCUUCAGCCGGAGAUUUGAUGACAGGAAUAUGUUUCAAACAGGCCUACUCACAAUUUCAGUAGCUUUGUUUAAUUAUUAUUAUCAACAAAUUUUAAUCAAAUUUGGAGUUUUAUGUUCUUUAAAAUAUGAAGAUCAAAAAUAGUGAGUGUAACGUUUUUCUGAAUGCUCAGCUUAAGCAGGCAACAAGGCUCCUUAGUUUCAACCGUUGCAAAUAACAUGGACCUCAUUCGGACAAUGUUUUUGUGUACACACUCCCAGAUAUCACGUUUUUGUUUUAAAGGUUUCCAAAAGAUAAAGAGAGGAGGAAGAGGUGGGAAAUAGCUUUGAGGAGGGAUGGAUUCACUGCAAGUGAUUCAUCUGUACUAUGCAGUGAGCAUUUCAAAACGGAGGAUUUUGACAAAACAGGUCAGAUUGUCAGACUGAGAGCUGAUGUGAUACCAUCAAUUUUCAGCUUCCCAGUUCACCUUCAAAGAGUUGAAAACUACAGAACUACAAUAACCUCCACAAAAGCCCAAAGUAGUGAGUAUGUGGCCUCUCAAGAUGACCCAGAAACUUGUAGUUCAGACCUGCAACCCCAGUCUAAUGAUGAUCAUUGCUAUGCUUUGCCAGCUUCUCUUACCGCUGUCACUGCAAAACAUAAGAGAGCGUUGGCAAGAGUGGAAUAUCUGGAGCGGGACAAGAAAAACACCAUGGCCAGAGAGAAGAGGGCAAAGACCACAGCAAAGUCACUUUUGGGGGAAUUGAGUGAAAAAAA